UACGUAGGGAGCAAGCGUUGUCCGGAAUCAUUGGGCGUAAAGCGCGCGUAGGCGGCCCGGUAAGUCCGUUGUAAAAGUCAAAGGCUCAACCUUUGAAAGCCGAUGGAUACUGCCGGGCUAGAGUCCGGAAGAGGCGAGUAGAAUUCCUGGUGUAGCGGUGGAAUGCGCAGAUAUCAGGAGGAAUACCCAUAGCGAAGGCAGCUCGCUGGGACGGUACUGACGCUAAGGCGCGAAAGCGUGGGGAGCAAACAGG
rnacentral:rRNA from 1 species